AGAAUUGAAGGACAAAUUUGGGCCACCCUUUAAAAAAUCCCAGCCCAAACAAACUAAAACCCAGCAAAUAUCCAAAAAUCACCCUAGACCCGGCCCAAACCAUCCCAAAACCCGACCUAUUCUCUAAUAUACGCGGAUCAAUUCAUACAGACCCAAAAGUCCAUAAUCCCUAACCUCUCAAACGCGUAUUGCGACUGUUCUUCUUCUUCUCCCAAAAAACCAACCGAAUCCAGCCCUAAUACUGUCCAAAUUCGAGCAAUUGAACCUCAAAUAUCUCUUCAUGUGUUCCACUUUCUCUCCUCUUACCACAGAUAACCGUUUUUGACGCUAACAUUCCCUCUCCUCUCACUCGCUCAUUUUUAAGAUCUAUCUCACGAUUGGAAGUUUCUGGAGAUGAAAUGAUGGAUGAGUGUUUUGCGUUUUAUUGGUGUCAUUUAAUCCGAGCCCCACAUUCAUCAAGGAUUGGUCUUCAAAAGAAGCUUUAUCUAAUUUUGUGAGAGGGGGGCUCUCAAAAUAUUCAGAGAAAAAAAGGGUGGAAAGGUUUCCGGAACUACAAGUUUUCGGGGUUUGUUUUUCUUCUUUGACAAGUUCUUUUCAAAAGUUUAAAGGAAACAUAUACACAAUUUUAUUUUUUAUUUUCUUCUGAAUCCGGAUUUGAGUUCCAACGAAAUACAAAUUGAAGUGGUUCUAUUGUCGUCUUGCUAGCUGGUGUUGAACCUCAUUAGUAUUUGGAGUCGAAAGGUGCGUUGUCGAGUCUAUAAUUAUUACAGGAAGUUUGAAAUAUCAAGUUAAAUUUCUUUUCUCUUCUAUAUUUCUGAGGUGGCUUGAACUGUGAAAUUUUGUUCAAUGGUAUUUUGUUCUGUGAUUGAAUUUUUGGUGAUGAAUUUCUGGUAUGAUGUGCUUGAGUAUAUCCAGCCAUUAGAAGCUGAGUCUGAAGGGUCGUCCUUUGUGCUUUUGCAUUAAUUGCUAUCAUGAUGUCGAGUUUUCAUUUAAGUCAAGAUUUCGAGUUAAUUUUCUGAGUUUUAAGGUCUAUUGGAAUGGUUCUGGUGUGGAAAUUUGACAGCAUGUUCAAGGAUUGGACGUCUGCUUGAGUUGCUGCAUCACUGAACUUUGUCAGCCCUUUCUCUGCUGAUUUAAGUUUGUAAUUGCUGUGUCUAAGUCAAUAUAGGAUUUAUGCUUCCUCUUGUCUUCAAUAAAAGCUCAUGAAAUCAGUAAAUGAUUGGUUUUUUGGUGUUUAUCACGACCUGCUAUGAAUGCUGAGAAACAAGAAAUUCAAUGCAUGUUUUAAAGUUUUAGUUGGUCUAAAUUGCAGCUGUCAAAGGGAAUGCUAUUUCUACACUCCUUGUAGCUUCAUUUCCUAACACAAUCUAGAGUAGAUAGAUUCUUGAAAGAAUUUCUAAAAAUUGGAUCCUCUUUUCAUUUUUGGGGCUGCUUUUCUUUUAAACAAUGCUGGAGAGUCCAGGAUCUGGGGGUUUUUCCUUUGGUAUGGUACUGCGUUUAGCUGUGCUUGAGGUCCAGCCUAAAAGUCAAGUUCAUUGUUAGGUUCUCUCUGUUUGCUGCUUUAUUGCUAGCUGCUGAGUUGGUUCCUGUGGAUUUUAGACCUUUACAUGGUCUCAAUUCCCUGAUUUCUUCUUUAGAUAUUGUGAAACUCUCUUGGUGAUUCUUUAAAUGUGCCAAUGGAGAAUUGAGUAGCCUGUUGCUUAGCUCUCCAUGUCUUUCCAAUGGAUUUGUGCAUGGUUUAAAUGAUUUAGAAAGGUUCUCUCUUUAGGUCCUUGUCAUGGUUUUUCAUACGCUAGUUUGGUAUCAGUUUUCUUUUUUGAACUAGUUUGUAUACGCUUAAAUCGUUUUCGAAUCAGUUUGGUUAAGCAUGAUUUCAAAUCAGUCUGUUCAAGUUUAAAUCUACUAUUACUGGUGAUAUUUAUCCUUAGAUUCAUUCUCUUGUAUCAAGCCUGUGAGCCUACUGAAAAUAUGCCCUGUGUGCACUGAUUAUGAAGCAAAUCUGCACAAUUUUAAGUACUAAAUUUUGCACUGUCAGUUGAAAAAAAAAUUGUCGAGCUGCUGGAUAGUUCGCUGUCUAAUUGGGAUUUGCUUGAUAUUGUGAUUGUUGACCAGUCAAGGAAAUCAACAAGGUUGAGUUUGUUUUGAUAAGUUCUUCUGCAUGCAUCUUUAAUUGGUUAGUGUGUUAAGCAGUCAAAAACAGUUUCCAUUUGUCACCCUUUCUAUGUGUUUGUUUGAGCUUGUCACUAUAUGUUUGAUAAGAAGGUUUGGCAUACCAUGUUAGGGAGUUGGUUUUUUUAGAACUGGGGUAAUAAUAACUUGGAUGUAGCUAGGACCAAAGUUUUGGCUGUCAGAUUAAUUUAAAUUGGCAAGGCAUUGUGUGGCUAAUGAGUAAUUUUGUACUCAAAAUUGGAUCAAGGUUGGGCCAUUGGUUGGUUUCUUAAUUAUAGUAUUUCUAUUCAUGGGCGUUUUAGUGUUGGCUGCUGCCUACUCCUUAUUUAAAAAGGAAGUUGUCUUUCUUGGCUAGCCUAUAAAUUUCCAUUAUUUUGCUUCCUGUCGAUUGUAUAGUUGGUUGGUAAGUACCCUAUUAGUGAUGUAUCUCUGUUACUGGAGUCGAGGGUGCUAUAUAUGUUGGUGUGGUUGUCAAAAGCAGGUGGAAUUGGAUGAUAAGGGCUAUGGCCUACUCAACUUUGCUGGCAGUUUCCAUGGGCCAUGGCAUGUCGAUUUCAUAUUGUUGCCUAUCAUUAGGAUUUUCAGCAUAUUAAACUUUAUUAAAUUACCAUAAGCUUUAGACAAGUAAAAGGAAAUGUCAUAAACAAGGCGCGCCGCGCCAAACAAAAUCCAUAAACUGUGUGGCCCUCU
rnacentral:lncRNA from 1 species